rnacentral:rRNA from 2 species
ACGGGAGGCAGCAGUGGGGAAUAUUGGGCAAUGGGCGAAAGCCUGACCCAGCGACGCCGCGUGAGGGAAGAAGGUCUUCGGAUUGUAAACCUUUGUAAGCAGGGAAGAAGGAAGUGACGGUACCUGCAAAGUAAGCCACGGCUAACUACGUGCCAGCAGCCGCGGUAAUACGUAGGUGGCGAGCGUUAUCCGGAAUUACUGGGUGUAAAGGGAGCGUAGGCGGGAGGACAAGUCAGAUGUGAAACUCAUGGGCUUAACCCAUGACCUGCAUUUGAAACUGUUCUUCUUGAGGGCAGGAGAGGUAAAUGGAAUUCCCAGUGUAGCGGUGAAAUGCGUAGAUAUUGGGAGGAACACCAGUGGCGAAGGCGGUUUACUGGACUGCAACUGACGCUGAGGCUCGAAAGUAUGGGGAGCAAACAGGAUUAGAUACCCUGGUA